rnacentral:rRNA from 1 species
AGCGAACGCUGGCGGCAGGCCUAACACAUGCAAGUCGAACGAACUCUUCGGAGUUAGUGGCGGACGGGCGAGUAACACGUGGGAACGUGCCUUUAGGUUCGGAAUAACUCAGGGAAACUUGUGCUAAUACCGAAUGUGCCCUUCGGGGGAAAGAUUUAUCGCCUUUAGAGCGGCCCGCGUCUGAUUAGCUAGUUGGUGAGGUAACGGCUCACCAAGGCGACGAUCAGUAGCUGGUCUGAGAUGAUGGCCAGCCACACUGGGACUGAGACACGGCCCAGACUCCUACGGGAGGCAGGAGUGGGGAAUCUUGCGCAAUGGGCGAAAGCAUGACGCAGCCAUGCCGCGUGAAUGAUGAAGGUCUUAGGAUUGUAAAAUUCUUUCACCGGGGACGAUAAUGACGGUACCCGGAGAAGAAGCCCCGGCUAACUUCGUGCCAGCCGCCGCCGUAA